ACUACCAAAAAAAGUUAGAUUCCCCAAAAGGGAUCAAUAUUUUGGGACGGAGGGAGUAAAUAUUUUUUUAAAAUUUGAAAAAUUAUAAUUUCUUUUCUGAAUGUUAUCUUCUUAUAAUAAAUUGUUUUUUGAAAUUUAUAUUUUCAUAACAAAUUCUGUUUUAAUUUAUUAUGUAAUAUAAUCUUCAGAGAGAAUUUUGUAAUUUUUCAAAUCUCAUAAAAUUUUUGUAAUUUAGUUAAAUCUUGAGGGUAUGUGUAAUUUGUCCAUAUAUAUAUAUAUAUAUUUGGUGUGCUGUAUGGUGUGUUAGCCCGCAGUGAUUAUAUAAGUGGACCAUUAUUAUCAAAUGGGCUUUGUUAAAAGAAUUGGUGGGAGUUUAAAGCAUGGGCUGCUGGGUCCUCUUGCUUUUUUGCAGCGGAUCAUUUAUAAUUAAUUAUUUCAUGAUGUUUGAUCGUGUGAACCUAAUUUGACUCAAUAUGAGGGUGGUUUUGGGCCAUCUCCGCCAAGAGUGAUUGUAGAGUCACUGCUAUGGGGAAUAGUGGUUCAUACUACCCAAGUUAGAGACUGGGAGAUGAGUGGGAGGAUAGCUACCGGUUUUCUGGUCGCUUCUUGUUUUCAUGUGACCCAUCCUUUGUAUUGUCACGCCAGUCAUGGAGUGAAGGGCAUACUGCCAUGGGGUUUGAGAUUUGUGAUCUACCAAGGGGACUAAGGGAUGUAAUGAUUGCUUUCAUGAUUUUGUUGGCUAUGUAUUGGUUUGUUGAUGUGGGGCUAUUGUUUUUCACUACAACACCCAAGUACAUAGCUUAUGGUUUCUGAUCAUGCUAGCUUCAUGUAACUUUGUUGGGAUUUCUCGUGGGAUAGAUUUUUUCUUCCGUCACGGCUUUGGUUAAAUGGCUUGGAUGUCAUAGUUGUGAAGAGUGAGACGCUUAUAGGAUUUCAUGUGUUAAUCUGCAGCAGUGACUGGGGGCAUGUGGGGUUGGUUAUCAUCUUUGAUUCGGCUCGGGAGUUGUUGCUUUGUGUUUGUAUCUGUUGUGUUUAUAAGCUUUGUGGUGUCUUCUGUAUCUCUGCAUAUAUCUAUCUCAAGCUCUCAUCAAUUUAUCUUUGUAACCAAACUGCCCAAAUCAAACAUUUUCUCGUAACACCCAAAUAUUAUUUACCA